rnacentral:rRNA from 1 species
AUUGAACGCUGGCGGCAUGCUUUACACAUGCAAGUCGAACGGUAACAGGCCGCAAGGUGCUGACGAGUGGCGAACGGGUGAGUAAUGCAUCGGAACGUGCCCAGUCGUGGGGGAUAACGCAGCGAAAGCUGCGCUAAUACCGCAUACGAUCUCUGGAUGAAAGCGGGGGACCGAAAGGCCUCGCGCGAUUGGAGCGGCCGAUGUCAGAUUAGGUAGUUGGUGGGGUAAAGGCCCACCAAGCCAACGGUCUGUAGCUGGUCUGAGAGGACGACCAGCCACACUGGGACUGAGACACGGCCCAGACUCCUACGGGAGGCAGCAGUGGGGAAUUUUGGACAAUGGGCGCAAGCCUGAUCCAGCAAUGCCGCGUGCAGGAAGAAGGCCUUCGGGUUGUAAACUGCUUUUGUACGGAACGAAACGGUCCUGGUUAAUACCUGGGGCUAAUGACGGUACCGUAAGAAUAAGCACCGGCUAACUACGUGCCAGCCGCCGCAGUAAAAC